rnacentral:rRNA from 1 species
AUUGAACGCUGGCGGCAUGCCUUACACAUGCAAGUCGAACGGCAGCGCGGGAGCAAUCCUGGCGGCGAGUGGCGAACGGGUGAGUAAUACAUCGGAACGUGCCCAAUCGUGGGGGAUAACGCAGCGAAAGCUGUGCUAAUACCGCAUACGAUCUACGGAUGAAAGCAGGGGAUCGCAAGACCUUGCGCGAAUGGAGCGGCCGAUGGCAGAUUAGGUAGUUGGUGAGGUAAAGGCUCACCAAGCCUUCGAUCUGUAGCUGGUCUGAGAGGACGACCAGCCACACUGGGACUGAGACACGGCCCAGACUCCUACGGGAGGCAGCAGUGGGGAAUUUUGGACAAUGGGCGAAAGCCUGAUCCAGCCAUGCCGCGUGCAGGAUGAAGGCCUUCGGGUUGUAAACUGCUUUUUACGGAACGAAACGGUCUUUUCUAAUAAAGAAGGCUAAUGACGGUACCGUAAGAAUAAGCACCGGCUAACUACGUG